rnacentral:lncRNA from 1 species
AAAAAAAAAAAGAAAUCUUAAUUGUAGUGAAGAUAGCCUUUAUGUUUACAUUUGUACAUGAAUGUGGCUGGGUGGAGAAAAUGCAGGCCUUGUGUCUACCUUUUGUUUUUAACCACAUUUGGUUCUACAGUUGCAGAUUUAUGAGAGGCCUUCUUCCUUGGGAGCUUAGUACAGAGGGAACCCCAAAGGGUUGGGUUUGGAAAUGCAAACUGGAGUUUUUGUCAGAAGUCCUGGAAGCAUUGUCUGUGAUCUCAGGAGCAAUGUUGCCUUUUUUUCCUUUUUUUUUUUUCUUCAUAUUUUGAGAACCAGACGGGGUAGUGUUACUGAGAGGUAAUUGAAGUUGGUAGGGAGUAAGAGGUUUUGAAGAAGGCAAGUUUGAUGUUACCAUCAGAUAAUUCAGGGGAAAUGUCUCUUCGCUGUGCUCAAUUCUCAACACAGCAUCCUUCCCAUAAUUCUGAUUUCUAGAGCAAAAAUGCAACUUCUGUAUGCUGGCUCUGUUUAUCAGUAUCCUUCCCAGUUGGAAAGUAGUAAGCCUGGCCUUGGUUCUAGUCAUUUAAGUAAGGGUGGCCUGCUGAUAGCUUAACCCUUCUCAGAAGUGAUCUCUCCUGCUCUGUCUAUGCCUGCAGGUUAGGACUAGGAAUCCCAGCACUCCUGUGAUUUAUAAAUGGGGAACAGAGGAGCCAAAUCCUUCCAUAGCUGGUAAAAAAGUCUAUUGGAGGAACAUCGAUUUAGAAGUAUUCUUCAUAUACUUAAAAAGUCACAUUCCUAACACUAAUCUCUCUUGACUGUAGUCAGCAAAAGGUAAUUUCAAGGCUUCUAGAUCCAGAAUGCUUUCGGAUGUUAGACAUACUCUUGUUUAAACUCUCUGAGUAGUACAUUUGUCUUAUUGUAGACUGCUGUUAUCCCACACUAAGAAUAAUUACAGGAUAGUCAUUUGUCAGUUCUUGAAGUCAAGAGAGCUCUUUUAGAAUAGCCUAUUUGCUUUUUAAAAACAAUAUCGGUCUCGGUCUCAUUUAGGCAAUUUCAAACCCAACAGAGCAUGUCAGUUUUAAUGACAGCUUUAGUGGGCAGUUUAGACAGUUGGUAUCUGUUAAGUUUAUCCUGAGCUGGGCAUGGUAGCACACCCCUGUGACCACGACACUUGGGACAUGGAGGCAGAAGGAUGGUGAGUUCAAGGCCAGCCUAGCCUGCAUAGUGAGACUCUGUCUCAAAAAAAAAAAGUCUGUGCAACCCCAAGGUCCUGAGUUCAAUCCCCGGUACCAAAAAAAAAAAAAAAAGCAAGUCUAGUCUGAAUUGCCCUUGUACCAAUAUGGUGCAGAAUUGUCAGGUAGCAUCAAAGGUUAGAAUGCUUCAGGUAACCAGUGAGAACAGAAGAGGCUGAGUUGGUUUGUGUUUGUUUCCUCUGUCUUGAGUUCCCCUCAUGGUUCCCUUGUUACCUCACACCAAGUGAACAACACUUAAAGAACUCACAAGUAACUCCUUCGUGUCAAGUUCAGUACACAUAGCUGAAAUCUGUAAGCCGUUAUCUCAACUACCAAUAAGUUGUUUUUAAAAAAUACAUUAGACUCCAAACUAACCAAAGGACUUCUUAUUUAGUGCGCUCUGUGCCUUGGCACAUGGAAGCUGUGAGCCGAAACUGGCAGGAAGAGGAGCGCUGCGGUUUCAGCACACUCUGCGUCUGCUGCCUUGUCUGGAGAACACAAGAUCAUAAUAGCAAUGCAGUGUCACAAAUGUUUCAUUAAAAAUUUUCCAUUCAGAGAAGCCAUGGUUUGUUAGAGCAACGAAGUAUUUCUAAUAUGGAACAAGGAAAGGAAAAGUGGGGAAGCAGAGAGAGUUUGGACUAAAGUGGGUGUGUUUGAGUUGUGAGAAUUCUACCCAGAAGUCUCCUUGUCCACAGAGAAACAAGUAUUACCUAAGAUGUGAAAGUGGUAGCCAUACCUUGAAGCACAGCAUUGUACAUAAGUAAAUAUCUUGAUUCUAAAUUAAAUUCAGAUUUAACUAAUAUAUAUUAUUUUAUAUUUUUGUUGUAUUAAAAUGUUUAAAAACACUAAAAAUAAAACAUUUGAAAGUUGGAUUGCAA